UUAAGCGACUAAGCGUACACGGUGGAUGCCCUGGCAGUCAGAGGCGAUGAAGGACGUGCUAAUCUGCGAAAAGCGUCGGUAAGGUGAUAUGAACCGUUAUAACCGGCGAUGUCCGAAUGGGGAAACCCAGUGCAAUUCGUUGCACUAUCGUUAACUGAAUACAUAGGUUAACGAGGCGAACCGGGGGAACUGAAACAUCUAAGUACCCCGAGGAAAAGAAAUCAACCGAGAUUCCCCCAGUAGCGGCGAGCGAACGGGGAGCAGCCCAGAGUCUGAAUCAGCUUGUGUGUUAGUGGAACGGUCUGGAAAGUCCGACGGUACAGGGUGAUAGUCCCGUACACCAAAAUGCACAGGUUGUGAACUCGAAGAGUAGGGCGGGACACGUGGUAUCCUGUCUGAAUAUGGGGGGACCAUCCUCCAAGGCUAAAUACUCCUGACUGACCGAUAGUGAACCAGUACCGUGAGGGAAAGGCGAAAAGAACCCCGGCGAGGGGAGUGAAAAAGAACCUGAAACCGUGUACGUACAAGCAGUGGGAGCCUCUUUAUGGGGUGACUGCGUACCUUUUGUAUAAUGGGUCAGCGACUUAUAUUCUGUAGCAAGGUUAACCGUAUAGGGGAGCCGCAGGGAAACCGAGUCUUAACUGGGCGUUAAGUUGCAGGGUAUAGACCCGAAACCCGGUGAUCUAGCCAUGGGCAGGUUGAAGGUUGGGUAACACUAACUGGAGGACCGAACCGACUAAUGUUGAAAAAUUAGCGGAUGACUUGUGGCUGGGGGUGAAAGGCCAAUCAAACCGGGAGAUAGCUGGUUCUCCCCGAAAGCUAUUUAGGUAGCGCCUCGUGAAUUCAUCUUCGGGGGUAGAGCACUGUUUCGGCUAGGGGGUCAUCCCGACUUACCAACCCGAUGCAAACUACGAAUACCGAAGAAUGUUAUCACGGGAGACACACGGCGGGUGCUAACGUCCGUCGUGAAGAGGGAAACAACCCAGACCGCCAGCUAAGGUCCCAAAGUCAUGGUUAAGUGGGAAACGAUGUGGGAAGGCACAGACAGCCAGGAUGUUGGCUUAGAAGCAGCCAUCAUUUAAAGAAAGCGUAAUAGCUCACUGGUCGAGUCGGCCUGCGCGGAAGAUGUAACGGGGCUAAACCAUGCACCGAAGCUGCGGCAGCGACACGAUGUGUUGUUGGGUAGGGGAGCGUUCUGUAAGCCUGCGAAGGUGACCUGUGAGGGUUGCUGGAGGUAUCAGAAGUGCGAAUGCUGACAUAAGUAACGAUAAAGCGGGUGAAAAGCCCGCUCGCCGGAAGACCAAGGGUUCCUGUCCAACGUUAAUCGGGGCAGGGUGAGUCGACCCCUAAGGCGAGGCCGAAAGGCGUAGUCGAUGGGAAACAGGUUAAUAUUCCUGUACUUGGUGUUACUGCGAAGGGGGGACGGAGAAGGCUAUGUUAGCCGGGCGACGGUUGUCCCGGUUUAAGCAUGUAGGCGGAACGAUUAGGUAAAUCCGGUCGUUUAUUAACGCUGAGGUGUGAUGACGAGGCACUACGGUGCUGAAGUAACAAAUGCCCUGCUUCCAGGAAAAGCCUCUAAGCAUCAGGUAACAUUAAAUCGUACCCCAAACCGACACAGGUGGUCAGGUAGAGAAUACCAAGGCGCUUGAGAGAACUCGGGUGAAGGAACUAGGCAAAAUGGUGCCGUAACUUCGGGAGAAGGCACGCUGAUAUGUAGGUGAAGCCCCUGCGGGUGGAGCUGAAAUCAGUCGAAGAUACCAGCUGGCUGCAACUGUUUAUUAAAAACACAGCACUGUGCAAACACGAAAGUGGACGUAUACGGUGUGACGCCUGCCCGGUGCCGGAAGGUUAAUUGAUGGGGUUAUCCGUAAGGAGAAGCUCUUGAUCGAAGCCCCGGUAAACGGCGGCCGUAACUAUAACGGUCCUAAGGUAGCGAAAUUCCUUGUCGGGUAAGUUCCGACCUGCACGAAUGGCGUAAUGAUGGCCAGGCUGUCUCCACCCGAGACUCAGUGAAAUUGAACUCGCUGUGAAGAUGCAGUGUACCCGCGGCAAGACGGAAAGACCCCGUGAACCUUUACUAUAGCUUGACACUGAACAUUGAGCCUUGAUGUGUAGGAUAGGUGGGAGGCUUUGAAGCGUGGACGCCAGUCUGCGUGGAGCCAACCUUGAAAUACCACCCUUUAAUGUUUGAUGUUCUAACGUAGACCCGUGAUCCGGGUUGCGGACAGUGUCUGGUGGGUAGUUUGACUGGGGCGGUCUCCUCCCAAAGAGUAACGGAGGAGCACGAAGGUUAGCUAAUCCUGGUCGGACAUCAGGAGGUUAGUGCAAUGGCAUAAGCUAGCUUGACUGCGAGCGUGACGGCGCGAGCAGGUGCGAAAGCAGGUCAUAGUGAUCCGGUGGUUCUGAAUGGAAGGGCCAUCGCUCAACGGAUAAAAGGUACUCCGGGGAUAACAGGCUGAUACCGCCCAAGAGUUCAUAUCGACGGCGGUGUUUGGCACCUCGAUGUCGGCUCAUCACAUCCUGGGGCUGAAGUAGGUCCCAAGGGUAUGGCUGUUCGCCAUUUAAAGUGGUACGCGAGCUGGGUUUAGAACGUCGUGAGACAGUUCGGUCCCUAUCUGCCGUGGGCGCUGGAGAAUUGAGGGGGGCUGCUCCUAGUACGAGAGGACCGGAGUGGACGCAUCACUGGUGUUCGGGUUGUCAUGCCAAUGGCAUUGCCCGGUAGCUAAAUGCGGAAGAGAUAAGUGCUGAAAGCAUCUAAGCACGAAACUUGCCCCGAGAUGAGUUCUCCCUGAGACUUUAAGUCUCCUGAAGGAACGUUGAAGACGACGACGUUGAUAGGCCGGGUGUGUAAGCGCAGCGAUGCGUUGAGCUAACCGGUACUAAUGAACCGUGAGGCUUAACCU
rnacentral:rRNA from 1 species